AGAGUUUGAUCCUGGCUCAGAAUGAACGUUGGCGGCGUGGAUUAGGCAUGCAAGUCGUACGCACAGCUUCGGCUGUGAGUGGCGCAAGGGUGAGUAAUGCGAAGGUAACCAACCCUGGAGUUGGGCAUAACCGCGGGAAACUGCGGGUAAUUCCCAGCGAUGUCGCGAGAUGGCAUCAUCUUGCGACCAAAGGUGUGAUUCCGCUCUAGGACGGGCCUUCGUGGUAUUAGGUAGUUGGUGAGGUAACGGCUCACCAAGCCGACGAUGCCUACCGGGUGUGAGAGCAUGACCCGGCACACUGGAACUGAGACACUGUCCAGACACCUACGGGUGGCUGCAGUCGAGAAUCUUCGGCAAUGGGCGAAAGCCUGACCGAGCGACGCCGCGUGAGGGAAGAAGGCCUUCGGGUUGUAAACCUCUUUCGUAGAGGAGGAAGGGGCCGUGCAGAGCGGUCUUUGACCUAUUCUAGGAAGAAGCUUGGGCUAAGUUCGUG
rnacentral:rRNA from 1 species